AGCAAUGCCGCGUGAACGAGGAAGGUCUUCGGAUCGUAAAGUUCUGUUGAAGGGGAAAAAGAGCGGAGAGAGGAAAUGGUCUCCGAUUGAUAUUACCCUUCGAGGAAGUCACGGCUAACUACGUGCC
rnacentral:rRNA from 1 species